AAAUUGCCUGUACUUAUUUGCAGCCCCGUAGAUUUCAUUGAUAGAGAUGUUGAUUAUUUAGCAUCUAUUGUUACGAAUUUUCUGAGAUUAGUACUUUUUAUCCACCAGGCCCUGGUUUUAUUUUCUGAAGAAUCAUUCAUAUCUGGCACGCAAGAUUGCAAUGGAGGAUGAGUUGGGUAUGCGGAUAAGUUAUUGUGCCUUUGGAAAGCUGGUUAAAAAUUUUCUGUUUUAGCCGUGUAUAUAUAAUAUAUUUGUUGCGAUAGCAAUUGGAUGACUGCUAAUCUUUUUCCAAUUUAACAUUCUGAUUUAGCGCAUUCUUUGUAUCCUAUAGAUCAAAUUUCAAUACGAAUCAUAAUUGAAC
rnacentral:lncRNA from 1 species